rnacentral:rRNA from 1 species
CAAUAGCGUAUAUUAAAGUUGUUGCAGUUAAAAAGCUCGUAGUUGGAUUUCUGGUCGGAAGCUCCUGUCCUCUGAUGAGCAUACAAGUGCGUCCUACCAUCCUUCUGUUAACCUUUAAGGCUUUCGCGGCUUUCUAGGGGCUCAGAUAUUUUACCUUGAGAAAAUUAGAGUGUUUCAGGCAGGCUAGCGCCGGAAUACAUUAGCAUGGAAUAAUGGAAUAGGACUUUUGCCUCUUCUGUUGGUCAUGAGGCUCGAGUAAUGAUUAAUAGGGAUAGUUGGGGGCAUUAGUACUUAACUGUCAGAGGUGAAAUUCUCGGAUUUGUUAAAGACUAACUUAUGCGAAAGCAUUUGCCAAGGAUGUUUUCAUUAA